rnacentral:rRNA from 1 species
CAAGCCUAAGUACUCCUACAUGACCGAUAGUGAACCAGUACCGUGAGGGAAAGGUGAAAAGCACCCCGACGAGGGGAGUGAAACAGACCCUGAAACUGGACGCCUACAAGCAGUCGGAGGGCGCAAGCCUGACGGCGUACCUUUUGUAUAAUGGGUCAUCGACUUGGUCUAUCUAGCAAGCUUAAGCCGUUAGGUGUAGGCGCAGCGAAAGCGAGUCUUAAUAGGGCGUCAAGUCUGUCGGAUUAGACCCGAAACCGAGUGAUCUAGCCAUGUGCAGGAUGAAGGUGGGGUAACACCCACUGGAGGUCCGAACCAGUGCCCGUUGAAAAGGUCUUGGAUGACGUGUGGCUAGGGGUGAAAGGCCAAUCAAACUCGGAAAUAGCUGGUUCUCCGCGAAAUCUAUUUAGGUAGAGCGUCUCGUGAAUACCCAUGGGGGUAGAGCACUGGAUGGGCUAGGGGGUCCCAACGACUUACCAAACCUAACCAAACUCCGAAUACCAUGGAGUAAUGCGAGGCAGACACACUGCGGGUGCUAAGGUCCGUAGUGAAGAGGGAAACAGCCCUGACCGCCAGCUAAGGUCCCUAAGUUAUCACUAAGUGGGAAACGAUGUGGGAGUGCUUAGACAACCAGGAGGUUGGCUUAGAAGCAGCCAUCCUUUAAAGAAAGCGUAAUAGCUCACUAGUCGAGUCGGCCUGCGCGGAAGAUGUAACGGGGCUAAACGUAGAACCGAAGCUGCGGAUGCACUAUGUGCAUGGUAGAGGAGCGUUCUGUACGCCUGCGAAGGUGAGUCGAGAGGCUUGCUGGAGGUAUCAGAAGUGCGAAUGCUGACAUGAGUAACGACAAAGGGGGUGAAAAACCCCCUCGCCGGAAGACCAAGGUUUCCUGCCCCAUGCUAAUCAGGGCAGGGUUAGUCGGCCCCUAAGGUGAGGCUGAAAAGCGUAAUCGAUGGGAAACGGGUUAAUAUUCCCGUACCUUGGAUAGCUGCGAUGGAGAGACGGAGAAGGCUAGGUGAGCCGGGCGACGGUUGUCCCGGUUUAAGCAUGUAGGCGGAUGUUCCAGGUAAAUCCGGAACGUUAUCAACGCUGAGGUGUGAUGACGAGGCACUACGGUGCUGAAGUGACAAAUGCCCUGCUUCCAGGAAAAGCCUCUAAGCAU